CUACAGGGCCACUAUCGGGUUGGAGUUUGUAUUUGAAACCUGCAACUCAACAUUUUGUGUUAGCUUUAGCUGUGAUUUUGCUAAUUAGAUAAUAUUAGCAUGCUAACAUGCUAAACCGUGUGGUUAUACCAACAAUGGUUGGUUCUGGACUCGUAGGAUAUUUAACAGAGAUAUUAGCUUUUACUGUAAUUCCUUUUAUCAGUGAGUCCAAUAUUCAGAAUAUUUCAUAAAGAAGUUAACCCACUAAAAUGGCCAUUUCUGCCAUUUUCUUUCUUAUUCAUUCUACUCAUCCCUCUUGCCCCCAGUCAUGUCAGUCAACUCCUCUUCCUCGUUUCCUCCUUCCAACUCUUCCUCCAUCAAUGUCUUUGAAUUCCUGCAGAACUGCUACAGAAGUCCAGCCGGCGCCUCCAGCAUCACCACUUUCACCGUCUGCAGCCUCCUGCUGGUCCUCCCUCCCUGCGUCUACGUCGUCUACCUGGGACUCAAACAACGGCGCUCCGGCACGGCGGCGAGCCACUCCGACGUCUUCACCUUCCACAUGGUCGCCAUCGAGCUGAUGAAUAUCGUAGGGUACCUUUUAUGCUGUUGUGGCGUCCUCGCUGGUCUCCCAGAAAUGCUGGUGGGUAUUGUCUUUUGCGCCGUCCACUGGUGUGGCCAGCAGCUGUUUCACUCUCUGACCUGUGUGGAGCGCUACCUGGCCGUCGUUCACCCCGUCACCUACCUGGGCCUGAAGAACCAGAAGUGGAUCAGAGUCAGAGACGUCUCCAUCGGAUAUGUUUGGCUGCUGUGCUUUGCAAACACAGGAAGCCUGUACGUUGGUGAAAACAAUUCAAUGUACAAUUUAAUCAACAUCUUCGCUCUAAGCUUCAUAGCCUUCAUGUUCAUCGUCGUCUCCUUCUGCAGCCUCGCUGUUCUCCGCGUUCUGAUUGGUCCGGGGCCGGGGGCCGGGGGGGAGGGAAGGCGGCGGGUCGACCGAGCAAAGAUGAGAGCGUUCUACACCAUCAUGGUCAUACUGGGGGUGCUGCUGGUGAGGGUUGUGGGGACUGCAGUUUACUGCGCAUUGUACCCCUUGCCAGAUGCCGAGGAACAUGAAAUAUGUAUUCUGUGGUUGGCCUCUACGUGGUUAACGUUGCCCAGCAGUCUGGUGUUGCCUCUUCUCUUUCUCCACAGAGCAGGAAAACUACUGUUUUGUCAGAACGUCCGCAGAUCUGUAAAAGGACCAGAUUAGAUUCAAUCAGUAUCUCUGGAUCUAAAUCUCUAUGUAGUUAUUUUGUAUUCCUCCAAUUGUUUUGAUCUUGUUGGAGCUUUUGUCUUCAUGUGGUGGAUUUUGUGUAUUUGUCAUCAAGUUGUGUCUCUAUGGUAAAUUUCACCUUUUUGUACUCUUUUUGCUUUUUAAUAGAAGCUGCUUCAUUUUUUUUAAAUCUAGUGUAUCAGUAGUGCCGAGAUCAAAAAUUGGCUGGUGGUAUCAACUAAUGUCAGAAGGCAGUCAUCCCUCUAUGUCGCUUUUUUUUAAUAUCAACACACAUAAAAAAAAUUUUUUUCCAUAUCCAUUUCUCAUUCACCAAUAUGCACAACUGAUAUGCUUGGCAUGGCGUGAACGGCUGAUUUGAAUAGAAACACAAAUUAGUACGCAUUUGACUGUCAGGUACAAUGAUGAGGUGUGCAAAUGUUUUGCUAAGCGUAUAAUCCUUGUGUUCAGGGCCGUGAAGAAGUAUUUUGGUGGUACUGAUUUUGUCCGCAAAUUAUAUACAUUUGAAUUUUGUCAAAUUGAUGAAUACGAAAUACGAAACGUUACGACAUUGUGGAAGGAAACCAUUCGUUUUUCGCAUGAAACAAACACAACCUUUACAUCAGUGUAAUACGUAAUAAAAUAUUCCACUUUGCCUUUGCUGAACAUGUUCAGCUCCCUGGCACCCAUUAAAACGAACAACAAAAAACUUGUUUCUUCCUUGUUUGAAUAUAUUUUAUUAGAACAUCGUAAUUGCUUGAACAGUUGAUUCCUAAAUAACAUGAACUCUGCUUAUAUUUAAAUCAAACAUUCCUUCAUGCUCAACUACUUAAUAGCACAACACAUCAAGCCCACUGCAGAUACCUUCUGCCCCAUUAGAAGUUGACAGAAGUCAAAUGAUGGGAAGACGAAGCCUGCUGAGUAUUCAAAUAAAAUAUCAUUGACUGAUUUGCAUGGUUGUGUUAUGUUAAUCACGCCUCUUGCAAACUCCUCUUUUAGCUCAACAUUUUUUCUUAAAUUAAUUGAAGUAAAAAACACUUAUACAUCAAACGAAAAUCUACAAAAAUACAUCAGAUGUUUUUUAACGGAGGGUGUUUACAUUUUUUUUUUUAAUCUCUAAUUAUAACAGAUGUUUAUCCUCCAUCAGCCGAUCUGUCUCCCAACUUUGUUUGUAGGGAAACAAUGAAUGCAAUAUCAAUGCAAUGUCAAUGUAUGUAUCUUUUCAAGGUGACUUUCAAUGCUUCAGAGCUGGGUUGCUAGAAAGCCAAGUUGAAUUUAAAAUUCGACUUUAUACGUAAUUGUUUCACUUUGGAAGUCAAUUCUGCAAAUUCCAUACCGCAUUAAUUGGUGUUCUUACAACCCGGUAAUCUUCCCGCUCGGUGUAGAUACAAAAGAGGUAAAACCAGACUAGUCAGGACAUUCGUCCAAGUUUCUGCUGGUAUAAACUCACACGGAUCCUCUUUCCCCAACUUAUAGAGAAUAACCCAAGCAAGCCCGGUCGCACACCUCAACAGCAGCACUCCCAGGAUGGCCACGAUGGUGCAGACGGCCCUCCGCUUGGAUUGGUCCACCCUGUCCCCACCCUGUUCCCCCGGCCGUGGACGAAUCAGAACGCAGAGAACAGACAGGCUGCAGAAAGACACUACGGCCAUGGCGAAGAUCAGAAUGCAAAAAUUAAAAUUUAAAGAUAAAUAUCCCAAAACGUCCAUAGUCGCCUCACCGAAACAGACCAGCCAAACCCCUCCGAUGGAGAUGUUUCUGAUUCUGAUGCCCCGCUCUCUCCUCAGGCUCAGGUAGGUGACGGGAUGGACCACGGCCAGGUAGCGCUCCACGCAGGUCAGGAUGUGAAAGGACGUUUGUCCGAACCAGGUCACCGACAGAAGAAACAGCCCCACAGAAUAUGUAGGGACGUGGAUACUAGAGUUGCUGAGGAUGAACCCCAGAACCCCAAGCAGCUCGAUGGAGACCAUGUGGUAGGCGAAGCUGUCCGAGUGACUCGUCGCCGCUGAUGAGCAGGCGGAGCGCUGCCGCCGCCAUCGUUGGAAACCCAGGUAGAGCACCAGGACGAAGAGGGGCACCAAGAGGAGGAGGACGGUGGUGCUGGAUGCAAUGAAGAUUAAGGAGCUUGGUUGUGUGAAGAGGCAAGGGAGGUUGGAAGGAUGAAGGGAGUCGUUGGAGGAAGAGUUCGCUGCCAUAUCUCAAAGAGAAGACAAUCAGAUGGAGGGAAUGUGUAAUCGAUUGAUAUAAACAUGGUCCAUACAUCUUCUCUUUAAACAAUUACUUUAGAAAAGCACCUUGUAGUUUAAAAGAAGGAAACAAGUGGUUGUGAUCCUUACCUUAUCAGUCCUAGUUUGUGGUGCUCCUCUGUGGACUCCUGGAAAUCUGCUCCUGAUGUAGUGGAUGCAGAACCUCCUCUUUAACCCCCCUCCCACUAGCUCUCCUCAACUGUUGCAUUAAUGAGCACACACCGCAGCGUACCAUUUGUGUCCACGUCCAAAACCUUUACUUGUGGACGUAGAUAGUGAACUUCUGUUUUUAGAGAAGAUCCGCGACGCGUCAAACCAUGAAGGAUUCUGCAGAAGACCGAGGACGGACCCCUUGGUCCUCCCAGCACAUCGGAAAGGAGCGUCGGCGUGAAGACAAAGCCUGUGCAUUCAAAUCCAAUGGACGUGUUUUGCAUGCUCGUGUUGUUCAGCCCACAAUCAUCGCAGAGACAAACGAUGUCCUUAACAUACACAAGGUGAUCAUCCACAUGCAUGUACAGCUUUUGAAUAAUCUCAUAUUCCAGAACAAAGUAAGUCGAUGCUGUAUAUACUUUGCAUACACGCGAGAUACCAGGUACACAGUUGUAAAUUAUCCUAUAACGUGAAACACACAGAAUAUGUUUGAAGGUUUGAGGUAAGAACCUCCACUUUAAACAUAUCAUACGUUAUGCACUGGGAGGACAGAGGAGGAGGAGGAGGAGGAGGAGAGAUCCACAACAUCAGCAGGAGAAGUUAAGAGUGAGUAGAGGAUGCUUCUGUGGUGCAGUACACCAAUGAGACCAGCAGGGGGAGACAGGCUCAUUUCAUCGUUCAUAGACGCAGCGAUGGGUCCUUAACUUUCAACAUCAGUUUAACGCCUUGAAUCAUGUUGCAUCUUCCACGACGUCGCGUCAUCACAGCCAGCCAAUCAGCAGCCAGGAAGCGACUCGCACACUGAUAUUGGUGUUAUUUCAAGACCUUUUAAAAUCACAGUUUAUUCGAGUGUGGAGAUCAACUAAAGGUCAAACACACACACACACACACACACACACACACACACACACACACACACACACAUCCCUCUUAGUGAACACUCAUUCAUAAUGAUAAAACACAGGUUGUCUUGUUGGCCGAGCGUAGCACAGAGGUUCUGUGUGUGUGUGUGUGUGUGUGUGUGCGCGCAUGUGCUUGUGUUUAAGUUCAACCAGUGUUUACAUGCCAGUUGGAACACACACACACACACACACACACACACGAACAAACACUCGCUUCUAUUUCAACAAGCGUCUGUUCUGGAGAAUGUCCCCCUCCUCACCCCCCUCAACCCCUUCAGCCCCCUCUGUCUUUUUAACUUGAGUCUCCUUCGCCUCCCCCCAUGUCUCUCCAUUCAUCUCUUAAUGAUGAUACAGUAAUUGAAUCAGUAUGUCCCAUGGAUACCGACUCACACACACACACACACACACACACACACACACACAUCUAUCUACACACUUUCCAGACCCCGGCAGGAGUAAUGGAGGCGGCACGGGGUGAUGGAUUGUAUGUGUACACACACAUAGACACGCACACACACACAGGGACACACAUUCCUAUUGAGCAUCUGAUCUGUGCUCAGUGCGGUUUUUAAGGCAAAGCCUCCGCUUCCAGACGUCUAUGGGAGCAGAGGAGUCGCCCCCUGCUGGUCACUACAGAGAAGUAGAGUCAUUUCCUCAUAGACGUCUAUGGGAGCAGAGG
ensembl:lncRNA